CGCCGUAGAAGCCGUUUUCCCCAAACAAAGUCCUCCUCCUGGCUCUCGUCGUAGCUCAUGCAUUUUCGGGAGACCGCUGUCAUAUAUCGCAUCUCGAUAGCGAGAAUGCUGCUGCGGUGCUGCUCUACAAAAGGAGUGCAUUUUGGAGUCUGCCUGCGCUGCAGGUAGGGCCGCCUCCGUACGCAGCUCUGUGGAAAAUAAUUUUUUGAAGCACACUGUGGCAUGCAGCAAAUGACAGAGAAUGAAAUCGUGAAAAUAUUUUGCGUGUGUGUCGUAUGGUUACUGUGACACUUGCACACACAAAGAGCUGAGGAGAGCUCCUUCUUCGAGUCCGUCAGCACGCACACAGGACGCAGGACGCAGGACACAGUGGGAGGCGGCAGGACAUGACAUGGAAUGCGGAAGGUGGAAAGUGGAAGGACACCCAGCUAACGGCAUGUGCAACCCUUUCCACACAUGUGUGUGGCUCUGUGUGUG